GCCGAGGCAUGAGUAGUGA
rnacentral:snRNA from 1 species